rnacentral:ncRNA from 1 species
AUUUCAUGCAGAGUGGCUGAGGGACGAGCCCUGAGACGCCACGGCAACCGACCCGGGAUCAUAUAUCCCUGAUGCUGGUGCCAACUCUCUCCUGGAAACAGGGAACAUGAGAU